rnacentral:rRNA from 1 species
UUAGAGUUUGAUCCUGGCUCAGGACGAACGCUGGCGGCAUGCCUAAUGCAUGCAAGUCGAACGCUUCUUUCAAGGGUGCUUGCACCUUUGAAAGAGGAGUGGCGAACGGGUGAGUAACACGUGGGGAACUUGCCCAUGAGUGGGGGAUAACAUUCGGAAACGGAUGCUAAUACCGCAUACGUCUCUUUUUCGCAUGGAAGAAAGAUAAAAGACGGCUUCGGCUGUUGCUCAUGGAUAGCCCCGCGGCGUAUUAGCUAGUUGGUGAGGUAACUGCUCACCAAGGCUGUGAUACGUAGCCGACCUGAGAGGGUGAUCGGCCACACUGGGACUGAGACACGGCCCAGACUCCUACGGGAGGCAGCAGUAGGGAAUCUUCCGCAAUGGACGAAAGUCUGACGGAGCAAUGCCGCGUGAGUGAAGAAGGUUUUCGGAUCGUAAAGCUCUGUUAUCGGGGAAGAACAAGGAUCGGAGUAACUGCCGGUCCCUUGACGGUACCCGACCAGAAAGCCACGGCUAACUACGUGCCAGCAGCCGCGGUAAUACGUAGGUGGCAAGCGUUGUCCGGAUUUUAUUGGGCGUAAAGCGAACGCAGGCGGUUCUUUAAGUCUGAUGUGAAAGCCCACGGCCUUAACCGGUGGAGGGUCAUUGGAAACUGGAAAACUUUAAUACAAAAAAAAAAAAGUGGAAUUCCAUGUGUAGGGGUGAAAAGGCAUAGAUAUAGGGAAGGAACCCCAUUGGGAAAAAGGCAAUUUUCUGGGUCU